AGAGUUUGAUCAUGGCUCAGGACGAACGCUGGCGGCGUGCUUAACACAUGCAAGUCGAACGAGGUCCAUGCAGUCGCAAGACUGCGGAAGACCUAGUGGCGAACGGGUGCGUAACACGUGAGGAACUUGUCCCGGUCUCUGGAAUAACAGGUGGAAACACCUGCUAAUACCGGAUGCCGUCGGUCCAUCGCAUGGUGGACUGACGAAAGGGUUACCGGAUCGGGAGAGCCUCGCGGCCUAUCAGCUUGUUGGUGAGGUAACGGCUCACCAAGGCAUCGACGGGUAGCUGGUCUGAGAGGAUGAUCAGCCACACUGGGACUGAGACACGGCCCAGACUCCUACGGGAGGCAGCAGUGGGGAAUCUUGCACAAUGGGCGAAAGCCUGAUGCAGCAACGCCGCGUGCGGGAAGAAGGCCCUAGGGUUGUAAACCGCUUUCAGCAGGGAAGAAGAUGACGGUACCUGUAGAAGAAGGUGCGGCCAACUACGUGCCAGCAGCCGCGGUGACACGUAGGCACCAAGCGUUGUCCGGAUUUAUUGGGCGUAAAGAGCUCGUAGGCGGUUCGGUAAGUCGGGUGUGAAAACUCUGGGCUCAACCCAGAGCCGCCACCCGAUACUGCUGUGACUUGAGUUCGGUAGGGGAGCGGGGAAUUCCUGGUGUAGCGGUGAAAUGCGCAGAUAUCAGGAGGAACACCAGUGGCGAAGGCGCCGCUCUGGGCCGAGACUGACGCUGAGGAGCGAAAGCGUGGGUAGCAAACAGGAUUAGAUACCCUGGUAGUCCACGCCGUAAACGUUGGGCACUAGGUGUGGGUCUCAACCAACGAGAUCCGCGCCGUCGCUAACGCAUUAAGUGCCCCGCCUGGGGAGUACGGUCGCAAGACUAAAACUCAAAGGAAUUGACGG
rnacentral:rRNA from 1 species